rnacentral:lncRNA from 1 species
UUGAAAGGCAGGAAGUAACAAUUCUGGGUCACUAUCUUUUCCAAGCUCUUCUUUGAGUUUUAGUAACAGAUUGGUUGCUUUAUUCUUUGAGAUCUGAAAAUGAAUGAAGAAAUUGGUGGCAGUGAAGUGCACGAGAUUAUGUGCCAUGCCAUUUGUUCUCAUAGAAUAAUUGAGGAAAUUAGAAAAAAAGGCAAAAUUCAAUGUUUUCUUAAAAAAAUGACUACAAAACUCUUUGCAAGAGUUCACAGCAAACUUCAAAUAAAUAGAGAAGAUGUCAACUACAAAAUUGCUAAGGGAGGAACUUAGGACACUGACUCUGAGGGCUUAGGUGUUAGCAGAUUAGGGGCACAUGAGUCUGGAUUUUGGGGCUUGUCUUCCAUGAUUGGGAGAAAAAGGAAAGUCUGAGUGAGAAACACAGUGAGAGCCAGAGUAUCCAGGAUCGUCUGCAACAUUAUACAUUACAGGAGGACUCGACUACAAGAAAACUCAGUGUUGCUGAGAGCACCCAAGAGGAAGCAGAGGAGGACUCAAGUACAAGAAAACUCAGUGUUGCUGAGAGCACCCAAGAGGAAAAAGAGGAGGACUCAAGUACAAGAAAACUCACUGUUGCUGAGAGCACCCAAGAGGAAACAGAGGAGGACUCAUCUUCAAGAAAACUCAGUGCUGCUGAGAGUACCCAAGAGGAAAAAGAGGAGGACUCAUCUUCAAGAAAACUCAGUGCUGCUGAGAGUACCCAAGAGGAAAAAGAGGAGGACUCAUCUUCAAGAAAACUCAGUGCUGCUGAGAGUACCCAAGAGGAAAAAGAGGAGGACUCAUCUUCAAGAAAACUCAGUGCUGCUGAGAGUACCCAAGAGGAAAAAGAGGAGGACUCAUCUUCAAGAAAACUCAGUGCUGCUGAGAGUACCCAAGAGGAAAAAGAGGAGGACUCAUCUUCAAGAAAACUCAGUGCUGCUGAGAGUACCCAAGAGGAAAAAGAGGUGAGCAGAAAUAACAGUCACAAAUUGGAGUGUAGGGAAGACACAUUUGGACAAUUAUUCUACAAAGUGGCUACCCAUUCUUUGUCACUGAAUUAUCACUCUACAAUAGGAAUAAAAGCCCCGAGUUACUAGGAUCAAGAUGAUUCUUGACCUUUCUGGUCAU